UGGAUCCAGACUUUGAUCCUGGCUCAGGAUGAACGCUAGCUACAGGCUUAACACAUGCAAGUCGAGGGGCAGCAUGGUCUUAGCUUGCUAAGGCUGAUGGCGACCGGCGCACGGGUGAGUAACACGUAUCCAACCUGCCGUCUACUCUUGGCCAGCCUUCUGAAAGGAAGAUUAAUCCAGGAUGGGAUCAUGAGUUCACAUGUCCGCAUGAUUAAAGGUAUUUUCCGGUAGACGAUGGGGAUGCGUUCCAUUAGAUAGUAGGCGGGGUAACGGCCCACCUAGUCAACGAUGGAUAGGGGUUCUGAGAGGAAGGUCCCCCACAUUGGAACUGAGACACGGUCCAAACUCCUACGGGAGGCAGCAGUGAGGAAUAUUGGUCAAUGGGCGAUAGCCUGAACCAGCCAAGUAGCGUGAAGGAUGACUGCCCUAUGGGUUGUAAACUUCUUUUAUAAAGGAAUAAAGUCGGGUAUGCAUACCCGUUUGCAUGUACUUUAUGAAUAAGGAUCGGCUAACUCCGUGCCAGCAGCCGCGGUAAUACGGAGGAUCCGAGCGUUAUCCGGAUUUAUUGGGUUUAAAGGGAGCGUAGAUGGAUGUUUAAGUCAGUUGUGAAAGUUUGCGGCUCAACCGUAAAAUUGCAGUUGAUACUGGAUGUCUUGAGUGCAGUUGAGGCAGGCGGAAUUCGUGGUGUAGCGGUGAAAUGCUUAGAUAUCACGAAGAACUCCGAUUGCGAAGGCAGCCUGCUAAGCUGCAACUGACAUUGAGGCUCGAAAGUGUGGGUAUCAAACAGGAUUAGAUACCCUGGUAGUCCACACGGUAAACGAUGAAUACUCGCUGUUUGCGAUAUACGGCAAGCGGCCAAGCGAAAGCGUUAAGUAUUCCACCUGGGGAGUACGCCGGCAACGGUGCAACUCAAAGGAAUUGACGGA
rnacentral:rRNA from 1 species